ensembl:lncRNA
ACCAGUGAUAGCCACAGAGCAGAUCUUAGUGGAGUCCUUGAAGAGGGCAUGGCCAUAGAUGCUGGGGAGUGGGAGACAUUUUAAGGGAGGAAACCUUGAUGGAGAAGAGGAUAAUGGAGGUGAAGACAAAGAACCAUGAUGAGGGAGUGAGUCAUGAUGGAAGACCAGAAUGCUCCCAGGGAAUAGCCAUAGAUUAUAGCCUGUAUCGAGGACAAGAAUAACCAAAGCCUUCCUAUGUCUGACAACCAAAGUUACAGUGUUGGAGCAGAGUGUUGUUUCAGAAGAGACUCAUAGCUUCAUCAGGCUUAGCAAUGAUGUCAAACGUUGUGUGAUGAAGAAGAAAAUUACUAGCCACUCUAAAGAGUCGGACAUGAC